rnacentral:lncRNA from 1 species
UGCUGGUUUACUUGAUGGGCUCUGUUGUACACCAAUGGGUCACAAACCAGGGUCUCACCACUAGAGAUGAACAUCUACCUAGAUACUGCAUUUUCUGAUGUGAGUGACUAUCUUACUCAGUCGGAAUUGGAUGCGAAAUAAUACAUGUGGUGGUUCAUCAGCAUCACUUCUCAAGGUAUGCUUGUUGGUGAUGUUGCUUUUUUAUGUUAUUUUUGGUUUUGUACGACAUUCUUCCGGAGGAGGUUCAUAUUUAAAAUCAUUUCUGCUCAAUUAUAUCAGGUUGGUCUGUCAUACUUAAAGCGGAUAUAGUGACUAGUUUGUUAUGUGCUUUGCAGGUUAGUCAUAUGGUUUGUAUAAUGGACCUAUAGCUCGUUCUUGUCUUUUUCAAGUUCAGAAAUCAGCGCAUUAUUAGUUGCUUCACUAUAUGCUUUGAUAUCCAAGUUACAACUAGGAUUUUCAUAUGUAUGUAUAUCACUUAUCACAUACUAGAACAGUAUUCCUUUUUCUAGCACAGGAGAAUAAUUUUCAGUGUUAAUUUAGUUGGGUACAUACUAUCAACCAAAAAAGCUCAAACGUUUUGCCCAUAUAUAGAAUAACUCAACUCUUGCUAGAACUAGAUAAGAAACAGACUAAUUAAUUGUUCGCAAAAACAGUUUCUUCUUUGUUGCAUAAGGACUGUGCAAGAAUUUGGAUUAAGACAUGUCUAAGCUACAGGAAAUAGUAUACAAUGUUAUUUAGUCUAAAAUGAUUCACAUGCAAUUUUUUUCAUAUGUGCUACUAUCCUUUUGAGCAAAUUCAUUUAUAUGUACUACUAAUAAAUCAUUUGUGUUUUUGCAGAACGGAUGGUUCACAAUAAUAGGAGCAUCACAAGACAUUGUAGUCAUUGGUGAAGAAUGAUAUGCAGUGAAACACAAGGAUUUAUGAUGGUGUCCCAUGACUGAAGAUUAUGAAAAAUAAAUCACUCUUCUAGGUGAUGUAUUUCUGGUUAGAUAUGGACUAAAAUAGUUGUCUACAAGGUGUUUUUGGUUUAUAUUCUCCACUGUAUGUGAGGAUCGUCUUCAAUAUGUAUGAUUUGGAUUAAUGAAAAUAG